AAAGGGAGAGAGAGAACUUCCCUUUCUCUCUCUAGAUCUCUCCCAAAAUGGAUGGAUUUGGUGGAGAAGCAAGCUUGGAAGUUGAUCUUCAUCUCCUUCAUCUUCUUCCUCUCCAUUGGAGCUUGCUUGAGAGGUAAGCUUCAAACCCCGUUAAUGGUAGAAUUGUAGGGCUUCAAUUAUAUGCUCUAGAAAUGGGUUUAAUGGAAUCCUAGGAUGUUAAAUGAAUGUAUAUUGCAUGAAUCUAGUUCCAAUUUGGGUAUUCUUGCAAUAGUAAACACCUAGAGCUCUAAAAUGCAAAUUUUGCUACUAGUAGGGUUUGAUCUCGUUUGACCCUCCGUAAACUUAAUUGUUAGGUAAACGAACACGUUGGCGAAGACGGUUCGGUGAUUCGUCGAGCCGGUGCGAAGUUAUUAAAGAAACGGAUGUUUAGGCUUCGUUUCCGCCUGGAGGGCCGAGGCGACGUCGUAAAAUCAUGGAAUUGGAUUUGAGGCACCGUAACAACAAAACGAAGACCUUUUUUGCCCAAGGCUACGAAGCAAUGCACGGUUGGUGCGCAAUUGCAAGUUCUGACGGAACCGAGCACCGGAUGCCGCGGGAGGCCGAUUGCAAGUGUCGACAAGCAAUCGGAAUGCAAUAACAGGUGGGUUGUGCUUACCGAAGCGGCUAGGUCGCCUUCAUGUCGAAGAAAAAUAUGAUUUCCUAGUUGAUGAAUAUAAUGGGUUGAAUACUAUAUGGUGCAUAUGAUGUGAAGAUUCGGUAAAUGCAUAUAAUGUGAGAAAUGUAUAUUGCAUGAUAAUUGCAUAUGAAUAUAAUGCAUGCUAGUUGAUAAUGACAAAUUAAUAUGUUGAAUGUUAGAUGAAAGUAUGAACUAAAUGUUAGAGAGAUGCAUGAAAGUGAUGUUGUAUGAAUGCAUAGGCUAUAUUAUGCAAGUUGGAACAUAUGCAUGUUAAUGUAUUUGUGGACUAUGUUGAGUAACAUAUGCUAAUUAACAUAUGCUUGUUGACUUGGGUCUAAAACUCUUGGAUGAUUAGAAAACUCGACAUUGGAAAUACAAAUGUAGUAUUAAUAUCAUGAUAUGGUUUGAAUUCCUACAAUGGGAUGAUAAAUGUGGAUAAGACCUAGGUAAAUGACAACCUAGAGAUUUUGUACAAGUAGUGCAUCGAGAACACUUGAAUUAUGACAAGUGGCAUGUAGUUAAUGUGAACCUAUGACGAGUGGCAUAUAUGAAUCUUAGUGUAGCUGAAACACUAGAUUAAUGAGUAUAGAAACCUAUUGGUUCUAUGUUGAUGCUAUCCUUAGUUGAUAGGAUGUUCCCAGUUUAUGUGGAUUUGGAUCGAGCUCACAUAGCCUGUCUGCGCCUGUUGUGGUCGCCCCACACAGGUAGUGCACUCCGGAGUUGUCACACGAGGAGGGCCAGUGUAGUUGCCCUUGGACCAUUGUAGCUGUCCGCAGGCGUUCUCGGGGGUAGUUGAGUCUAGACUCCUCCCCUAGGAGGUUUAUAUACGUGAGAUUUGAUGCGAGCCUUGAGUUCGCCGAGAGAUUGGGUAACAAGUUAUGAGCUAUAGUGAUUGUCCUAGUUGAGGGGAUUUAAGGUCGAGGUGCAAGUGAGACGUCCUUCGCCUCAUGCCUGGCCUUGUGCGGUACUUCGCAGACGAUCGACUCAAGACCGAGUCGGGCGGUUAGCUUUGUAAAGGUAGAUGAAACUUUAUGACAAAAACGGUAAAUGACAGAAAACCUUAAAUGUCAAUUGGAUGAAAGUAGUAAUCGAUUGAAUUACUAGUUGGUUAUAUAGUUGCAUUAUUGCAUGAUCUUCAUAUUGCAUAUCGCGAGGCAACGCAUGGUAUUGUUAGUUGCAUAAUCUUAUUAUCAUAUCUACUUGUUUAGUGAACUAAUCUACAACUUGCCUCCUUCGGACCUGUCGGUCGAGCUUUUCCCUUGGGUGGCCGUACCCACUGGGAACUAUGGAGUUAGUUCUCACCCCACGUUGCUUUUGGGGUAUUACAGGUUCACACGUGAGCGGCGCGGCGGCGCGAGGCGAGGGCGUAGCUCCGUAGAUAGCGCCCUGCCACAGAGACCAGAGUUAGCCGUACCCCGAGUCGACAUAUCCUAGGGGUAUAGAGAUGAGAAGAUCAAUGUAUCAAAAUUGUAAUGAAUAAUUGAUGUAACAAUUCAUAUUAAGAUGUACUAUACUUGUGAAUAAUGAUGUAGUAGCUUAGAUUGCAUUUGGUUGGAAGUAAAAGUAAAUUGUAAUUGAGAGGUAAAGUAUGAAUGAAUGAAUGUAAUAACUUAGGAUGUAUUUAUGUUGUUUGAUACCUUCCUU
rnacentral:lncRNA from 1 species